GUACCCUUAGCUCAGCUGGAUAGAGCAACCGCCUUCUAAGCGGUAGGUCGAGGGUUCGAAUCCCCCAGGGUGCGCCA
rnacentral:tRNA from 1 species